GGCUAACGCUGGCGGCGUGUCUUAGCCAUGCAAGUCGAGCGGACUUAUGGGGUAACUUAUAAGUCAGCGGCGGACGGCGGAGUAACACGUAGCUAACCUACCCUCUGGACGGGGAUAACCUACCGAAAGGUGGGCUAAUACCCGAUGUAGUCAUCCUGUAUAGGGGUGAUGAAAGGUGGGCUUCUGUUUACAAGCUCAUGCUGGAGGAGGGGGCUGCGGCCUAUCAGGUAGUUGGUAGGGUAAUAGCCUACCAAGCCGAUGACGGGUAGCCGGCCUGAGAGGGUGACCGGCCCGAGGGGCACUGAGAUACGGGUCCCACUCCUACGGGAGGCAGCAGGCUAGAAAUUUGGGCAAUGGGGGAAACCCUGACCCAGUGACGCCGCGUGCAGGAAGGAGCCCUUCGGGGUGUAAACUGCUGUCGUGUAGGGAGAAGGGUACUAAGGUGAACAAUCUUAGUACUUGACGGUACUACGAGGAGGAAGCCCAGGCUAACCUCGUGCCAGCAGCCGCGGUAAUAGUAGCGUACU
rnacentral:rRNA from 1 species